rnacentral:rRNA from 1 species
CCUACGGGAGGCAGCAGUGAGGAAUAUUGGUCAAUGGGCGGAAGCCUGAACCAGCCAAGUCGCGUGAAGGAAGAAGGUACUUAGUAUUGUAAACUUCUUUUUUCGGGGAACAAAGGCGGAGACGCGUCUCCGGAUGAGUGUACCCGAAGAAAAAGCAUCGGCUAACUCCGUGCCAGCAGCCGCGGUAAUACGGAGGAUGCGAGCGUUAUCCGGAUGUAUUGGGUUUAAGGGGUGCGCAGGCGGGAGAUAAAGUCAGCGGUAAAAUGUCGGGGCUCAACCCCGGCCGGCCGUUGAAACGGGUUUGCUAGAGUUGGCGAGAGGUAUGCGGAAUUCGUGGUGUAGCGGUGAAAUGCAUAGAGAUCACGAAGAACUCCGAUUGCGAAGGCAGCAUACCGGCUCAAUACUGACGCUGAGGCACGAAAGCGUGGGGAUCGAACAGGAUUAGAUACCCGUGUAGUC